UUAGGAAUCUUGCGCAAUGGGCGAAAGCCUGACGCAGCCAUGCCGCGUGAAUGAUGAAGGUCUUAGGAUUGUAAAAUUCUUUCAGUGGGGAAGAUAAUGACGGUACCCACAGAAGAAGCUCCGGCUAACUUCGUGCCAGCAGCCGCGGUAAUACGAAGGGGGCUAGCGUUGCUCGGAAUUACUGGGCGUAAAGGGCGCGUAGGCGGAUGAUUAAGUUGGGGGUGAAAGCCCGGGGCUCAACCUCGGAACUGCCUUCAAAACUGGUCAUCUUGAGUUCGGGAGAGGUGUGUGGAACUCCGAGUGUAGAGGUGAAAUUCGUAGAUAUUCGGAAGAACACCAGUGGCGAAGGCGACACACUGGCCCGAUACUGACGCUGAGGCGCGAAAGCGUGGGGAGCAAAC
rnacentral:rRNA from 1 species